AGUGAACGCUGGCGGUAGGCCUAACACAUGCAAGUCGAACGGCAGCACAGUAAGAGCUUGCUCUUACGGGUGGCGAGUGGCGGACGGGUGAGGAAUACAUCGGAAUCUACUUUUUCGUGGGGGAUAACGUAGGGAAACUUACGCUAAUACCGCAUACGACCUACGGGUGAAAGCAGGGGAGCUUCGGACCUUGCGCGAUUGAAUGAGCCGAUGUCGGAUUAGCUAGUUGGCGGGGUAAAGGCCCACCAAGGCGACGAUCCGUAGCUGGUCUGAGAGGAUGAUCAGCCACCCUGGAACUGAGACACGGUCCAGACUCCUACGGGAGGCAGCAGUGGGGAAUAUUGGACAAUGGGCGCAAGCCUGAUCCAGCCAUACCGCGUGGGUGAAGAAGGCCUUCGGGUUGUAAAGCCCUUUUGUUGGGAAAGAAAAGCAGCAGGUUAAUACCCCGCUGUUCUGACGGUACCCAAAGAAUAAGCACCGGCUAACUUCGUG
rnacentral:rRNA from 1 species